UAGGGAAUCUUCGGCAAUGGACGGAAGUCUGACCGAGCAACGCCGCGUGAGUGAAGAAGGUUUUCGGAUCGUAAAGCUCUGUUGCAAGAGAAGAACGAGUGUGAGAGUGGAAAGUUCACACUGUGACGGUAUCUUACCAGAAAGGGACGGCUAACUACGUGCCAGCAGCCGCGGUAAUACGUAGGUCCCGAGCGUUGUCCGGAUUUAUUGGGCGUAAAGCGAGCGCAGGCGGUUAGAUAAGUCUGAAGUUAAAGGCUGUGGCUUAACCAUAGUACGCUUUGGAAACUGUUUAACUUGAGUGCAAGAGGGGAGAGUGGAAUUCCAUGUGUAGCGGUGAAAUGCGUAGAUAU
rnacentral:rRNA from 1 species